UCCAGGUACAAAGGUGUAUUCACGCAACUUGAAAUUGCUUGUACCUUUCUUCAAUUGUCCAUCAAUUGCAUUACAAAAGAUUGAGAAGGGUAGCACUUCUGAAGCAAGUUUUGUAUUGGCAACCUGGAAACUAAGGACUUAUCUCAGACUUCCAUGGAGGCCACUCAUUUCAGUUGAUGGAAGCACGAUAUAUGAUUUAGAUGACAAAUUCAAA